UACGAAGGGAGCUAGCGUUGUUCGGAUUUACUGGGCGUAAAGAGCGCGCAGGCGGUCGAUUUAGUCGCGUGUGAAAGCCCCCGGCUCAACUGGGGAGGGUCACGCGAUACUGAUCGACUCGAAGGCAGGAGAGGGUAGUGGAAUUCCCGGUGUAGUGGUGAAAUGCGUAGAUAUCUGGAGGAACACCGGUGGCGAAGGCGGCAUCCUGGACCGGUAUUGACGCUGAGGCGCGAAAGCCAGGGGAGCAAACGGGG
rnacentral:rRNA from 1 species